AUUGAACGCUGGCGGCAGGCCUAACACAUGCAAGUCGAGCGGAUGAAGGGAGCUUGCUCCUGGAUUCAGCGGCGGACGGGUGAGUAAUGCCUAGGAAUCUGCCUGGUAGUGGGGGAUAACGUCCGGAAACGGGCGCUAAUACCGCAUACGUCCUGAGGGAGAAAGUGGGGGAUCUUCGGACCUCACGCUAUCAGAUGAGCCUAGGUCGGAUUAGCUAGUUGGUGGGGUAAAGGCCUACCAAGGCGACGAUCUGUAACUGGUCUGAGAGGAUGAUCAGUCACACUGGAACUGGGACACGGUCCAGACUCCUACGGGAGGCAGCAGUGGGGAAUAUUGGACAAUGGGCGAAAGCCUGAUCCAGCCAGGCCGCGGGUGUGAAGAAGGUCUUCGGAUUGUAAAGCACUUUAAGUUGGGAGGAAGGGCAGUAAGUUAAUACCUGGCUGUUUUGACGUUACCAACAGAAUAAGCACCGGCAAACUUCGU
rnacentral:rRNA from 1 species